rnacentral:lncRNA from 1 species
AAAGAAUAAGUCACCGUAACAUGCGACGCUUCAGAAACGACCGUUUCGUUUCCAACAGAUUCUUUUACUCUCUCUGUCUCCUUUCGUCCCUCUAUCCCUGUAUUCAUCCUCCUUUAUUUUUCUAUUUUCCUAUUGUUUUUUUCGUUUACCUUUGUUGAAAUUCUCUAUACUCUUUCUCCUCCCCGUUUUUCCUUCUACACGGCUUCUACUUCAUCUUUGUUGAUUUAGUUUAAUUCAUCAGCUAAUUUCUAAAAUCUUUCCUCACUGCCAUUUCCAAUUUGCACUUUGAUUUUUAAUUCCGCUCCGUCUGCGACUCACUCCUUCGCCAGCGCCAAACAACUGGCUAACAACUGCUUAUUUUGACGCCCAUGAAGUAUUCGAAAAUAUGCCCCUAUAGGUUGACCUUGCCCACUGAUUCAUAAAAUGCUACAAAUUUAUUCAACAUUUGCCGUUAUGUAAUCUUUUCAAAGUUAAUCUUUAUCAACUAUGCCUCCUUUGGAUAUAUUUUCAGCAUUUUAAAUGUUAGACCCUUUAAUUUUAACAAUUCAGGUGAUCACAUCAUUUAUUUUUCUUUUUAGAUUGAUAGAUGGUAGUGCAAAUGAACAAAAUGCUGCGAAAAGAUUCAGUUUGAGCUUUCUCCAUUCGUAUUUGAGGUACGCUCCGAAAAUUCUUAACUACUAUGCUUUUUACAUAAUUGAUAACCAAGAGUGUAGAGAUUCUAAUACACAUAACUUUUUUAAAAUUGAUAAGUAAGGGUGUGCCUGAUAUGGAGUACGAGAAUUUUGCUUUACUGAUACUGUUAAUAGUAAAAGAAUUGGUCCACGAUGUCUACAAAUGUUGAUUAUAGUUCACUGAUAUGGAGUUUAGACUACAUUAGACUUUUAUUGUAGCCUCAGAUAUUGGUGCUCAAACUCAAGGCAUUGCGAAUUGAUUUUCGAAAUAAGAUCGUCUUGAUGUAGACACUGAGACACAUAACUAAUUAAAAGGUUAAAGAAAAAACAAAGUUUAAGGUUAGAGAGCAUUAGUGGGAGGUUAUAAAAUUAAUAAUACUCCUACAUCACCAAGAACCAAACAAAAUCACUAUUUUUCCUAUUAUACCUUAUGAUACUACCUAUAUCUGUUCUGCUUUACCAAGGUUCUUUACUUAUUUUGAUUACAACAGGUUGUUUUCUUCUCAAGAACACGCACUUGAACUAACUUGAAUUCUGUGAGAAAAUUUGCAAUAAGAAACUUCUAUAAGAAAUUUAAACCUAAAUGCAUGUAGAAUAUUUUGCAUCUAAGAGAAACCUUUUACUUUGUAGAGAACCAAUAACAUCUCCAGAUGAAUAUUAAGGCUAGAAUAUUGGAUAUGUUAAGUAAUACAGAUAAUCACGACACGAUUUUAUGUGGCACAAAUGAUUGCUUAAUUGCUCUACUGUAAAUUGGUCGUUAUUUAUCCCUAAUCAGUAGUAAAUUUUUCAUGCCUUCUUAACUCAACUUGAUAAAGAUUUAUCAUAUUUGUGUAUAUAGUUUAUUGAUGGGUGAAUAUAAUUAUGGAGGAAGAAAAUAAACUACACUGCCAUCCAUAUCCAUGUAAUACCAAAUUGGAAAAAAACUGAAGGAAAAACAAACGACGAUUAAGACUCACCAACGGUUGUAGCAGCGAUGAAGAGAUGAGCGAAGGUAGUGAAAAUACUAAAUCAACAUCACAGAAAUAGUGCUUGAAAUAAGAGAGGAAAAGAAAAGCACAAAAGCCAGAGAAGAAGAUGCCCACAAAAGCGCACAUAUGAGGCGAUAUAAGCAGAGUUAAGUGCAAUCAGUCAUUAUUAACUGUUAUGGAAGAUUUUUUAAUUUAAUAGUGAUGACGAAUGACCAUUGGACUUAUUUUUAUGUCUAUAAGUGUUGAUUAUAGUUUACUGAUAUUGAGUUUAGACUAUAUUAGAUUUUUAUUGUAACCUCAAAUUUUAAUAUUGCAUAGUUCUGUUACUUCUUAUUU